rnacentral:rRNA from 1 species
AUGAACGCUGGCGGCGUGCUUAACACAUGCAAGUCGAACGAAUAACCCAUCUUCGGGAUGGUUAUAAAGUGGCGAACGGGUGAGUAACACGUGACCAACCUGCCUCUCACAUUGGGAUAACUCAGAGAAAUCUGAGCUAAUACCGAAUACUCCAGAAUCUUCGCAUGUUGAUUCUGGGAAAGCUUUUUGCGGUGAGAGAUGGGGUCGCGGCCUAUUAGAUAGUUGGUGGGGUAAUGGCCUACCAAGUCAAUGAUAGGUAGCCGGGUUGAGAGACUGAACGGCCACAUUGGGACUGAGAUACGGCCCAGACUCCUACGGGAGGCAGCAGUGGGGAAUUUUGCGCAAUGGGCGAAAGCCUGACGCAAGCAACGCCGCGUGCGGGAUGAAGGCCUUCGGGUUGUAAACCGCUUUCAGCAGGGAAGAAAUUGACGGUACCUGCAGAAGAAGCUCCGGCUAACUACGUGCCAGCAGCUGC